UGCCUAUUAGCUCAACCGGUAGAGCUUUGUGCGAUUGCACAAUGGUAUAAGUUCGAAUCCUACAUAGGCAA
rfam:Spinacia oleracea cultivar SynViroflay scaffold22761.con0001.1, whole genome shotgun sequence.